UCUGGUAGAUGCAUUCUCACCUCCCCUUCCGAAGCUUACCUCUCUCCUACCCCUCUCUGACCCCAGGUCCCAGACAGCCAGGGCUUUCCUCAAGAAUCAGUAGAACGAAGAGUCUCUUCCUCAUGAACUAUACUCUAGCCCCGCCUAGGUCACAGCUCCCCAUGUUCUAAAGAAGGUGGGAGCGCUGGGCCACCCUGCCUUCUGGAACCGCAGUUCUGUGACGUCAUCAUUCUCCUGGACAUACUUGGGUCCAAACCAUGCAAACGGAGGCCCAUGCAAGCUUCCCGCAGAAAGUACAGAUGGGUCUGGAAGCACUGACUGAAAUUAAGUGGAACAGCUCAGCUUUACAGGGGAAGCCUUCAGGAGUGAGGCCAGAGGCCGACAGUUUGGAAUCAUGUGGACACAGCCCAUCUGAGAGGAUAAGCUUCCUUGAAGAGGGAGCAGAGUCCAGACAGGAUUCCAAUCCUAGAGUCCACCCUUUCCGGGACCCAAACACGGUCUUGCCCUUACUGCAAUCCUGCAAUUCAAUAAAUGUCCCUUCCUGCGCCAA